AGUUAGAUAUAAAUGUGAGCGUUGAACGUUCUUAGAAACAGAUGUACUGGUAGACACUUGUAAGGUAACUUCAGUCUUUAUCGAAGUAGUACUUUUGUUCAUUUACCGAAAGCACUUGGAAAAUUGACGAUAGUGAAAAUAAAAAAAUUUCCGACCAAAAAAAUAAACAAAGUGUGAAAGAGAAUAAGAUUAAAAAGAAAAAAACAUCAAAGUUAAUACGAUAAUUCGAAGUUGCCGUUGUUCGAAAGGUGUCAAAGAAGAAACGAAAAUAAGUGCAAGCUAAAAAUAAAAUUCAUUUUCAAAGGCAGCAGACAUUCCUUCCCAUUUCAGUUUUUCCUAUUGAAGAAUUAUAUUUCCGAUUUUUUAUUCCCUCCCACGCAUACCACUUUGAAACUUCUUAUUUUCGAUUUUCAAUUGCACGUAUCGCUAUUUGUUUUUUUUUUCCUGUACAAAUAUGAAAUACCUAUCCGUGAGACUGAUUGCAACCAUCCUAAUUUCUUUCCUCUUCUUCAUGAAUCUUCAUCAUCCUGCAUUAUCUCGGAUUAUUAGACCCGAAACAACAACAACAACAGAAAUCUCAACGUCUACGGAGAAACUGAAAGUUGAGGAUUUUAAUUUGAUUCAUGUAUCCGAUAGAAAAUGUCCAAAUGAAGAUGAACGUAGAGACUCAAAUGGUAUAUGUAGACUUGUCAUUAAACCUUAAAUUAUUAUUAA
rnacentral:lncRNA from 1 species